CGCACGUGUUCGGUAUUUUACACUAUAGCUACUUCAUUCAGAUUUAUUUUAAAAUCAAUUACAAGUCUCUCCAGUCUCAUUUUAGCAGUGUGCAAGGAAAGAAGGUCAUCAUGUGCCGUUCAGUUUACAUUUUCUUACUUUACGUCAUACCAGUUUUAUGCCAUCGGAAGUACCGUCACGAUAAUGUAUAGUUCAGAACGCAGCAGUAGUUUGAAAAAUGACCAUGGCGUUCCUGAAAAAUAUGGAAAACAUACACACAGUGGGAUAUCCUGCCCGGGUGGUCUUCAUAUCCAUAUACCAGAAAAAACGAUGAAAAUCAUUGACUUCAGCGUUACAGCACAUUCAAUACCAGUUUCUGAUACCAAAAUACACGUCCAAACGCCGAGACCUCCCGAUCCCUUCAACCAUGUGUACCGUGACCUCUACGACGCUAACCAGCUCCUGCAAUCGUUCUGCCAUAACACUACACAGAUUAGAUUCGACGAGGGCGGAUGUUCCAUCAUAGUAUUACUACCAUCAAAAGACUAUGACCGUACAAGCAUUAACAUACGCACCAAGUAUCGGGUAGCGACUAUCACUGCAGUGGCUCAUGAUGGCAAAAAGUACGAAGAGCUGGUCAUAUUGCCACAAAUUACUGCCUUCGCACCAUUUUCCUUUUGGCAAAAUUCUAAUCGUGAAUACAUAACGAUAUUCUUUCGAAGAAAUUUCAAGUGCAAUGUUUGCGGUGAAGAUGCAAGUGUAAUUGAAAAAAGGUAAAGUUUUUAGAAUAUUAUUAGGAAGGCGAAGAAUAAAGAGAGGUCAGUUUUAAGGUCCUAGCACACUUAUCAACCCAGCAAGGGAUCAAAACCUUUUCGCCUUUCGCCGUGCUGUCAUCCGCGAGGCGAGCCAUAGACGGUGCGGAUAAGUGUGCGUUGCAUUGCAGUACGGAGUUUCAUACAAAGAAUACUGACCGCCUCAAUUUGAUACGGUUACGAUCCAUUUCCGAGUUGACAAGUGUGCUUCGUCCUGAAGAGUUCAGUUUUAGCACGAUGUUUUAGUGUACUUUGUAUUGUUCUAAAACUAUUAUAAUUACAAAGUUAGAUAAAUCAUUUUAA